GACGAACGCUGGCGGCGUGCUUAACACAUGCAAGUCGAGCGGAGCACCUUCGGGUGUCGAGCGGCGAACGGGUGAGUAACACGUGGGCAACCUGCCCCUAGCUCUGGGAUAACUCCGGGAAACCGGGGCUAAUACCGGAUAUGACAUCUCCUCGCAUGGGGUGGUGUGGAAAGUUUUUUCGGCUAGGGAUGGGCCCGCGGCCUAUCAGCUUGUUGGUGGGGUGAUGGCCUACCAAGGCGACGACGGGUAGCCGGCCUGAGAGGGCGACCGGCCACACUGGGACUGAGACACGGCCCAGACUCCUACGGGAGGCAGCAGUGAGGAAUAUUGGUCAAUGGACGCAAGUCUGAACCAGCCAUGCCGCGUGAAGGAUGAAGGCCUUCUGGGUUGUAAACUUCUUUUAUUGGGGGAAGAAAAUUAAUGG
rnacentral:rRNA from 1 species